GGUGAGGCCACCCGAUAGGUGACGGGCGCCGCCUCGAAAGCGGACAGGGUCGCAAGGCCUUGGGGGUUCGACUCCCUCCCUCACCGCCA
rnacentral:tRNA from 1 species